UACGUAGGGGGCUAGCGUUGUCCGGAAUCAUUGGGCGUAAAGCGCACGUAGGCGGAUCGAUCAGUCAGGGGUGAAAUCCCAGAGCUCAACUCUGGAACUGCCUUUGAUACUGUCGAUCUGGAGUAUGGAAGAGGUGAGUGGAAUUCCGAGUGUAGAGGUGAAAUUCGUAGAUAUUCGGAGGAACACCAGUGGCGAAGGCGGCUCGCUGGGACGUUACUGACACUGAGGCGCGAAAGCGUGGGGAGCAAACAGG
rnacentral:rRNA from 1 species